UGGGGAAUCUUGCACAAUGGGGGAAACCCUGAUCCAGCAAUGCCGCGUGAGUGAAGAAGGCCUUCGGGUUGUAAAACUCUUUCAUCAAUGAUGAUAAUGACAUUAGUUGAAGAAGAAGCCCCGGCUAACUCCGUGCCAGCAGCCGCGGUAAUACGGAGGGGGCUAGCGUUGUUCGGAAUUACUGGGCGUAAAGCGUAUGUAGGCGGAUUAAAAAGUUAGAUGUGAAAUCCCUGGGCUUAACCCAGGAACUGCAUUUAAAACUAAUAAUCUAGAAUUUGGUAGGGGUUAGUAGAAUUUCCAGUGUAGAGGUGAAAUUCGUAGAUAUUGGAAAGAAUACCAGUGGCGAAGGCGACUAACUGGGCCAUUUUUGACGCUGAGAUACGAAAGCGUGGGUAGCAAACAGG
rnacentral:rRNA from 1 species